UAGAACACUCCAUGCUUCAUGUAACUAUUAGGAUGGAUUGGGAUUGCCCUAAGACCCAAGCUUUUCUUUUUUUCAUUUUAGUUCUGUUUGUUUAUAUGUGCCUCUGUCCUCCUGCUUUUCUGCACCCACUGCUUGUCAUGGCUCUGCUGGUCUCAGAGGAACUAAUUGGCCAUGGCAUUUCCUGCCUUAGUCAUCAGGCAUUUACUUCUUAGUUCUUCACAGCCUCCUGGCAGGAACUGGGAAGGUAAAUCUUCGAUUCUAAGCACCGCCCUGAGAACUCAUAGGUUAAAGUCUUGGAUACCAGCUGAUGAGACUCCCACUUCACCACUGGAUUCACCCAUUGGUGCUUUCAGAAUAUUUCCUUGGUUGGCUCCAGAGUGAGGAGAAACACAGAUUAUAACCAGCAUAACUUGUUUGCAUACUGACUACAAAGAUGAAAACAGUGGUUUUCAAAACCCAUAGAGAUUUCAACUUAUGUAACUUCUGAAACUUGUAUUGCCUUGAGAGAUGCUGCCUCUCCAGGAUGGGAUAUAAGGGAAUGUCCAAGCAUUUCCAAAGAAGCAAAGCUUUCUGUGCAUGGUAUCUUUCAUUUUAAGGAUACAGGAGGAGUCUUGAGUUUUGAAGCAUUUAUUGGAUGGCUGCUCUGAAAUCUGCCAGGAAAUGGAAAUAAAGACAUAAAUCAAUGGUCUCCGCUCUACCCUUAAGCAUCUCUCAUUCUAAGAGGAAGAGACAUGGUUCUGUGUAAUUAUUAUACCGUGAAGUAAAAGUAGGAAAAUGUAGUGAGUGAAUAACCUGUUAGAAAUAUUGAUUUAUUUUUCCCAGUCUUUAAUUCUAAAUUCUUCCUUAGUCCUCUGUUUUCCAAUCUUUGCCAACCCUUCCCUUAUCCUAUUAACUAGCUUCUUUGGGGAUUCUGGGAUUCAAAGAUAAUGUAUUAUAAAGAAAAGGGAAAAAGGACCACUACUUUUGCAAAGGAUGGAAAAUAAAUACAACAAGGAAGGGUAGAACCUAGCCAGAAAAGGACUGUCUACAUCAAAGAGUAGAAGAAGGCAGUAGAUAGAGACAAAUGUUAGAACACAUUUUUAAAAAAUAAGAAAAAUACUAGCUCAGAGAAUAAGGCAUAACUCAGAAGAAUCACAUAAAGUCCUUUAGUUUGGGGCUAUAUGUGAUUUCAUUGUUUUGGGAAAAAUUAUUUUAAGAAUAAAGAUCAAACUGUGAGAUGGCAGAUUUUAUACUUUUUAAAAACACCUAUUUCUUUUUGAGUUCUGUGGACUAUAUCUUGGGUAGUCUGUACUUUUUAAUUUUUCUUUUGGUAAUAUUCAUUUAUGAGUGAGUACAUAC
rnacentral:lncRNA from 1 species